AGGACGAACGCUGGCGGCGUGCUUAACACAUGCAAGUCGAGCGGUAAGGCCUUUCGGGGUACACGAGCGGCGAACGGGUGAGUAACACGUGGGUGAUCUGCCCUGCACUCUGGGAUAAGCCUGGGGAAACUGGGUCUAAUACCGGAUAUGACCUGCUCUCGCAUGGGGGUGGGUGGAAAGAUUUAUCGGUGCAGGAUGGGCCCGCGGCCUAUCAGCUUGGUUGGUGGGGUAAUGGACCUACCAAGGCGACGACGGGGUAGCCGACC
rnacentral:rRNA from 1 species